rnacentral:rRNA from 1 species
GAUGACGCUGGCGGCGUGCCUACUACAUGCAAGUCGAGCGAGCGGCGGACGGGUGAGUAAUGUCUGGGAAACUGCCUGAUGGAGGGGGAUAACUACUGGAAACGGUAGCUAAUACCGCAUACAAUCGGAUGUGCCCAGAUGGGAUUAGCUAGUAGGUGGGGUAACGGCUCACCUAGGCGACGCUCCCGAGCUGGUCUGAGAGGAUGACCAGCCACACUGUAAAUGAGAAACGGUCCAGAAUCCUACGGUAGGCAGCAGUGGGUAAUAUUGCACAAUGGGCGCAAGCCUGAUGCAGCCAUGCCGCGUGUAUGAAGAAGGACUGCGGGUUGUAAAGUACUGUCAGCGGGGAGGCGUGACCCGCAGAAGAAGCACCGGCUAACUCCGUGCCAGCAGCAGCGGUAAGUC